rnacentral:rRNA from 1 species
GACGAACGCUGGCGGCGUGCUUAACACAUGCAAGUCGAACGGAAAGGCCCCUUUGGGGGUACUCGAGUGGCGAACGGGUGAGUAACACGUGAGUAACCUGCCCUUGACUUCGGGAUAACUUCAGGAAACUGGGGCUAAUACCGGAUAGGAAUCCUUGCUGCAUGGUGGGGGUUGGAAAGCUUCGGCGGUUUUGGAUGGACUCGCGGCUUAUCAGCUAGUUGGUGGGGUAGUGGCUUACCAAGGCUUUGACGGGUAGCCGGCCUGAGAGGGCGACCGGCCACAUUGGGACUGAGAUACGGCCCAGACUCCUACGGGAGGCAGCAGUGGGGAAUAUUGCACAAUGGGCGGAAGCCUGAUGCAGCAACGCCGCGUGCGGGAUGACGGCCUUCGGGUUGUAAACCGCUUUCAGCAGGGGCGAAGCUUGUGGUGACGGUACCUGCAGAAGAAGCACCGGCUAACUACGUG